rnacentral:rRNA from 1 species
GGGAGCCUACGGGACGCAGCAGUGAGGAAUAUUGGUCAAUGGGCGGAAGCCUGAACCAGCCAAGUCGCGUGAGGGACUAAGGCCCUGCGGGUCGUAAACCUCUUUUGCCGGGGAGCAGUGGUCCGGACGCGUCCGGACCGGGAGAGUAACCGGAGAAAAAGCAUCGGCUAACUCCGUGCCAGCAGCCGCGGUAAUACGGAGGAUGCGAGCGUUAUCCGGAUUUAUUGGGUUUAAAGGGUGCGUAGGCGGGCAUAUAAGCCGGCGG